AACGUAGGUGGCGAGCGUUAUCCGGAAUUACUGGGCGUAAAGAGCUCGUAGGUGGUUUGUCGCGUUGUCCGUGAAAACUCACAACUCAAUUGUGGGCGUGCGGGCGAUACGGGCAGACUGGAGUACUGCAGGGGAGACUGGAAUUCCUGGUGUAGCGGUGGAAUGCGCAGAUAUCAGGAGGAACACCGGUGGCGAAGGCGGGUCUCUGGGCAGUAACUGACGCUGAGGAGCGAAAGCGUGGGGAGCGAACAGG
rnacentral:rRNA from 1 species